UAUCUCUACAUUUUUUUUUCCUGGUGAAGCUUUGAAUAUUUUCUUAUGCUAUCUCCCAGUCAACUGCUCACUUCCCACCUCAUUGUCUGGCAGCAGGGAGCUGGGGCAGAAAAAUAGCAAAUCUAUUCUUUUUGUGGAUCCGUUCUUUUCACGGACAUGUUCGUGAGGCAUCCAUUGCAUCAGGGAAGAUUAGGACAUCAUAGCAGGGAAUGCAAAGAGAAAGGAGCUUCUUUGUUCUGCUUUGAAGUAUUCAAAUAAGAUCUUAAAUAUCAAAACAAUAGCAACGUCUUGAGAGAAAAAGAUGCUCUGAACCUCUACGAGCUAAGGCCCUGGACUAAACAGUAGGCAAAGAAGAUGGGUCAGCAUAAGCUUUCUCCACCCCUAGAGAGCAGGAACACCUCCCAGUCUGGAGAUGCUGCCCCAUGGCCCAUAUUUGGAGCUGAUGUGCUGAAGGAUAGAGAGGAAGAGAAAGCUGUAGUUCCUCACCAGAGCCAAGCAGCCCCUCUGAGAG
rnacentral:lncRNA from 10 species